rnacentral:rRNA from 1 species
UAUCUCUGUAGAGUCUGCAUAUCAAUAAGCGGAGGAAAAGAAACUAACAAGGAUUCCCCUAGUAACGGCGAGUGAAGCGGGAAGAGCUCAAAUUUGAAAUCUUCAAGGUUUGACCUUGACGAAUUGUAGUUUAAAGAAGUGUUUUCGGUUAGAGGAGUAGUAAAAGUUCUUUGGAAUAGGACAUCAUAGAGGGUGAGAAUCCCGUAUUUGACUAUUCUUUCUAGCUUUGUGAUACACUUUCAAGGAGUCGGAUUGUUUGGGAAUGCAGUCCAAAAUGGGUGGUAAAUUUCAUCUAAAGCUAAAUAUUGGCGAGAGACCGAUAGCGAACAAGUACCGUGAGGGAAAGAUGAAAAGAACUUUGAAAAGAGAGUUAAACAGUACGUGAAAUUGUCAAAAGGGAAGCGUUUGACACCAGUGUUGUUUUUCCGAAAAUCAAUUAAAAAUUGAUUCAUGCCAGGUUGUAUUGACCUUAUCAGCUUGCAAUUUGGUUUUGGGUCUCUUUUUGAUGCACUUUUCGGUUAACAAGUCAACAUCAAUUUCCUUUGCUGUAAAAAGGUAAGAGGAAGGUGGCUUCAAUUUCGGUUGAAGUGUUUAUAGCCUUUUAUCUCUGCAGUCGGGGAGAUUGAGGUCUGCAGCGUAGAUCCUUCGGGGCUAGAUACAUUUAUGCUAAGUUAUAGCUUUUCAUAGACAACUUGUUGACUAUGUUUAGUCAUGUAGCUUACUCGUAAGUGCUAUUUUACCUACGCUUAGGAUGUUGAAGACUCUACAGAGAUA